rnacentral:rRNA from 1 species
UACGAAGGGGGCCAGCGUUGCUCGGAAUCACUGGGCGUAAAGGGUGCGUAGGCGGGUCUUUAAGUCAGGGGUGAAAUCCUGGAGCUCAACUCCAGAACUGCCUUUGAUACUGAGGAUCUUGAGUUCGGGAGAGGUGAGUGGAACUGCGAGUGUAGAGGUGAAAUUCGUAGAUAUUCGCAAGAACACCAGUGGCGAAGGCGGCUCUCUGGGACGGUACUGACGCUGAGACGCGAAAGCGUGGGGAGCGAACAGG